rnacentral:rRNA from 1 species
UACGUAGGCAGCAAGCGUUGUUCGGAAUUACUGGGCGUAAAGCGUGCGUAGACGGUUACAUAAGUCGGGUGUGAAAGCCCCGGGCUCAACCUGGGAAUUGCAUUCGAGACUGCGUAGCUAGGGUACGGAAGAGGGAGGCGGAAUUUCAGGUGUAGCGGUGAAAUGCGUAGAUAUCUGAAGGAACACCAGUGGCGAAAGCGGCCUCCUGGUCCAGUACCGACGUUCAGGCACGAAAGCGUGGGGAGCAAACAGG